CCUACGGGUGGCAGCAGUGAGGAAUAUUGGUCAAUGGGCGAGAGCCUGAACCAGCCAAGUCGCGUGAGGGAGUACUGCCCUAUGGGUUGUAAACCUCUUUUGUCGGGGAGCAAAAGCCGGACGUGUCCGGCUGUGAGAGGACCCGAAGAAAAAGCAGCGGCGAACUCCGUGCCAGCAGCCGCGGUAAGACGGAGGGUGCGAGCGUUAAUCGGAAUUACUGGGCGUACCGCGCUCGUAGGCGGUAUGUCAAGGCAAGGGGGAAAUCCCCGCGCUCAACGUGGGAACUGCCUUUGAAACUGGCAAACUGGAGUGUGUGAGAGGCUAGUGGAAUUCCAGGUUUAGGCGUGAAAUCCGUAGAUAUCUGGAGGAACCUCAGUGGCGAAGGCGACUCUCUGGCACAUAACUGACGCUGAGGAGCGAAAGCGUGGGUAGCAAACAGGAUUAGAUACCCGUGUAGUC
rnacentral:rRNA from 1 species